ACUUUGAAAUGUACAUUGGUUUUGCCCUACAAAACAGUGCUGAGUCAGCAGAAAAACUAGCUCGCGUGAUCGUGUCCAACCUCCUCUGCCCAUUAUCUGAUCUUGUUCAGUGCUACCAUCAUUGUUAUCUUCCUCUCCAGGUGGCUCCAGAAUCUCUGUGUCUGGGCCUUUACUGAGUGCAUCAUUUGAAGAAGUUGGUUCUUCUCGUUUCUUUGCUGUUUAGCAGAAGUCAGAGCUACAUGCGUCAUGAAUCCCAAAACAAUGGUUUGGGCCAUUAAUGAGGUCUUUCUCUAACGUUUGAUAGCUGUUUUCCUGUUUGGUUCUCGGCUUCGCAUUCGAAUUGCACAGCGUGCAGAACUAACCAGCCGUUUCCGCAUUUUUUCAGUGAGUCCUUUGUACUGACUGUUCUUUUGAAUCAGCUUUUCAAGACCCGAGCGAUAACAUUUGCAGGCAUGGUUUGCACACUCCAGCUUUUUGAUCGCAUAUCCCCAUCCUGGGACACCUUGAAUAAGAGCGGAACUGUCUCCAUCCCCAACAAAACGGGUAUACCUCACUCCGUGCACACUUUCAGCCUGUGAAAAUCCUUUUAGGAGGAUAUCACUUUCCAUUUCGGAAGAGGAGGCGUUCCAAUUUUUGUAGCACUGAUGGUUUUCUUUUAAGAUUCCUUGGGCACAUGCGGCACAGUACUUGUUACGGACACCUAUGUAUAGUAACUUUCCUGUCUCUUUCCCAAUAAUGAUCGCAACUCCGGAUUUCGCAUUGUACGAGAACGCUUGCUCCAACCACCAUCUACUAUGACAGUGAUUGCAGGUACUCCUUCGUGAAAGUCCCCGCGCUCUAUUGUUUUCUCCUCCUUCCCGGCAGAGCCUCUGCCAUUGACUCCGUCAGAUUUGUUCUCCACUGCUCCCCAAUACCUCGCUCUGUGUUUAUGAAUGUUCGCUUUGUCAUUACUGGUACACCCAUUACACCAAGAGACUCUUCCAAUUGACUGUGUCCUCCACCUGUUGUCAUUUCUCCCCAAACAGCUGCUAAGUUACACUCCCAUCGAGAAUAAUUUCGAGGCCCUUUUAUCUUUGAGGAAGUCUGUAGUUCAAUGCUGUGGUUGCAAGUUGAGCAGUGUCCGCUUAUAAUGGAUGCUAGACCAAAUCUUUUCUCUCCGAUUAGCGUUACUUCACCUUCACAAACUGAAGAAUGUUCUGCACUAUACUCUUGUAACUUGCUCAAAUUUAUUAUUCUGGAGCCCUUUGGCAGACCAAUGAGAGGAGAAUGGUGUGAGGACUUCGUAGGUGUUGGUUUUGAAUACUUGUACUUCUUCUGAGCGAUUUUUUUUUCUUGUACACAUACCGACUAUUAUUUCGAUAAUUUUUUUGUUCUUUUUACUUCCCAUGGUUCCAACAGUACUCUUUCUUAGCUUGCAAAUCUGUUAAACAAUAAGAAUCAAGUACCUAGUACCUAUGGUAGCACGAAUUUGGCGCUGUUUGCGUGGGUGUUCAGUGUGCAGUCAGCUGUAGCUGGUGGUUAGUAACAUAGAGCUCAUCUGGCAAUGGUCACUUGGCGUCAAUUCUAAGCAUCAGGAAAACCCUCCUUACCUUACAGUCUGCUGUUUCUUAUUAUACGAAUAAAGGGGCAGGGCGGCUCGAAGAGUUUUUCUCAAGAGAGUAAGUUGAAACAAAGUUACGGCCAUUUCUAGCUGUUUUUGUAGGCCAAUAUGGCGACUGUAGAGUAGUAACAAGGAUAUAUUUUUUGCUGUAAGGUCUCUAUGAACAAGAUCUCUUCGAGUCGCCCUCCAGUAAGUCUUUAGGCAUCGAAUACUGGUCAGAAAGACAACCUGGAAGCUAUGUAGUCAACAAAACUUGACGCCACUCCCUUGGAUUACAAGACAUAGAUACAAGACAUAGAUACUUUUAGCAUUGUUUCAUGUUCUCUUUUCAUUGAUAAUCAUUGAAAGUUACAAAAAUAAUGUUGUGAUGAGAAAUAAAGAAAAUAAAUAUCUUAUGAAUUAUUCAUGAGCAAUUAGUAUACCGUAACCUUAAACCUUUCUUCUACCUUCCUGAGAAGUUUUGGCUCAUUGCGAAGCUUUAAACAGGGCAAACGUGAAGGUUGAACAGGCUCACUAAAGAGAUCUUUCUCGAGUAAAAUUUAAUGAAUUUACGGAGUUACGUGACGGGAAUUCCCCUGUCACCAUUGACUACCGCGGGGGAAUUUCCCCUGCGUAAGUUUUGCAGGUGCACUAAAAAGCUUUUUAGAAGCCAGCGCAUGCAGCCUUCGCCUAGCCUGUAGGCUCUCCUAGAAAGCAAGAGAGAUGUCAAGAGCACAGCGUGCUGCAGCAGACCUGAAACAUUUAUUUUGUGAAGAGGACCAGUCAGCUCUGAAUGAAGUUGCACUGGAUUACUUCACUUGUCGAGAUUCAGAGUACUACGACUCAGAAGAUGACAGUGGUGAUGAAGAGACAAGUUUUGACACGUCAACAGAUGUACUCGGGGCGUCCAGUCUCGGCCCAAUGUCUCCACUAGGUUAUGGUGAGAGUCCUGUGUUCCCAUCAAACAACCCACAGACAAGUUAUGCUAUAGAGGGCAAGAAUCACUUCUGAAAUUAUUUUGAAUAGAUGAAGAUUGGAGCCCAAUGUCUCCAUCAACUCCUUACAACAACCAACUGGCAGGUUAUGGUAAGUGCCUUAAAGGACAACGAAUAACUUACUUUGAAUAGGUGAGAGCGAUUCGAGUCCUGUGUUACCAUCAACCCCCUGUAACGACCCAGGUUAUGGUGAGGGCGAUUCUGACCCGGAGCCUCCAGAACCCCCCACCACAGGACGGCCUUUGACAGGUAACGGUGAGAGCGAUUCUGACCCGGAGCCUCCAGAACCCCCAACCACAACCACAGGGCAGUCCCAUUGACAGGUGAGAGCGAUUCUGACUCGGAGCCUUCAGAACCCCCCACCACAGGACGGCACGGUCACAACUCAGUUGAAAGAGAAACUUUGAAAGAGACUGAGGACAUUGCACAAUUGACGGGUGUACAUGUAGUAGAUCCUGCCUCACACUGCAACAGGUCACAGAAUCUCGGAUUGCUUCGAGCUCUCAAAAAGCGAGCUAGACAUGGUAAUUCUCGGGGAACUCCAUGCCACCAUGAACACCUGUGGACCCACUCAGAGGGAGCGUAACAGUGUGUCAUACACUCACAGAGGACGACCAGUGUGUGCCAGUGUAUUUCGGUUCCUACAUGGACUAACGUAUAGUGAAAAUGGGCUCACUCCAAGAGUACAUGGCAACAUUAAUCGGCUCCCAAAAAUAGUCCUGUCACAGGAAGACAAAAGACAACGAGAACCUAGUGACUUACCUCCAUAACUAUUCAGAAGUAGGGAUGCUUGCUUCUUCCUGGCAGCUUUGUUUGUGUUACACUGGUGCCGAGCUGGUCUGGUGUAUCGAGGCAAGUUAUUUUGGCGACCGUAAUGUUGGCUGAGAGUCUGCAUUUGCAUGGAGCCGAGGCCAAGUAAGUAAUCAUAACUCUCAUUAUAAUAUUUUGUACGCAGAGCACUGAGUUCAGCCGUACACGGCUGGCUAUACUUAGGCGGCGACCUCAGCCUCGCUGAGUUCACGGGCUCUGGCCUCAAGGUAAUGCUAGUCAACAACAUCCACUGGGCCAAGGUAUGGUUCCCCGUGACUGGUGUCAAACGGCACUGCAAGGAGGUCAUUAUCAACCUUCUGAAGUUCUUUGGAACGUUGGAGAGUUGCUGCCCAUCGCAGAUCUCAGUGUUCGCUGCCGAAAGGCUGCUGAUUGCCAUAAUCGGUUAAAGUCCGACCACAAGAGCGGCACCUAAUUGAACCGCCAGAAUGGUCUGAGGUAUACGUCACUAAGAUGGUGUUGGCUCUGGGAACCGCGUUUGACCGACGUAGGUUAGAAUUGUCAUCCAGAGUCAGCAUCAGUUUAGAGACACUAGGGUCAAUUGUGCCCUGUGAUAUUCUCUUCUCCGAAGUAGCAAGGCUUGCUGCUUCCCCUACGAGCGACACACAACUGGAAACUGUCCGACAGAUACGAGUGUCUGGAGAAGGAUUGGCAGCAGUGUAUUGAUCGCUGCAACACCAACCUUAUACUCUCAGUGACCGCCAAACUACUCCUAAACGCAUCCAGUGGACAUCUUCGGAGACACUACCCCUCCUUGUGUCUCCAGGACCUCAGGGAGAUGGCGAGACUGCUAAGCGUUGAGCAAUUACCAUCUUGGUCGGCACUAGACAACCUCUCCUUGACUCCCCUUGUUUGUUGCCUGCUAUCGCUCUCCUGUCACUAGCCAUGGAACAACUGGGAGAGGAAGUACCAAACAGUAUCGCGCGGUGCAAACUGUCUGUCGCUGCUAAUAUUAGCAGAUUAGAUCAGAGAUCGGACAGGCCAAACUUUACUAUAGCUGAGCUAAGAGGCAUCGUUGUAAAGUCGAUGGACCGGACCACCUCCAUAAAACAAAAAAGGCAAAAUGAACGGUGGACCGGACCACCAAAAAAAAGAAAAGGGGGGGUGAGGGGGCUAACCAAAAUGAACGAGAUAAGGCCAUACCUCAUGGGUGUCUUGGAAACCGGCCAACAAGGGUGUUGUAACAAGAAACCAUAGGUUUUUUGUUGGUCACAGCCAAGUGUCACUAACAGUUCCGUUUUUAAACUUUGUUGGAACGGUCUGAACCUUUGGCCACAGCCUGGUGUCACCCAGUAACAAUUUUCAAAUUUGGGUUCUGAAUGGUUCUGAAUGGUUAAAUUUUUUUCCAAGUUUUUUAAACUUUGUCGAAACGGUCUGAAAUUUUGGCCACAGCCUGGUGUCAGUUCAGGGGAGUGGACAUCUCAUCGGAUUUCAAGAGUGGACAACAACAUGUACAGGACAAAGAGAACAGAACAUUCACAAACACAAAUGAAAUGAUUUGUUUUUAAGUGUCAUGGCUUGUCUAUUGUUGUUCAUAAUGAGGGUUAUGGUUAUGCUAGGCUAGGCUAGGACUUUUCUUUUUCAAGCAGGAGACAUUUGGUUAUGGUUAUGCUAGGCCCUUUUCUUCAAUAAUAUGGUUAUGUUCUAUAAGGUCUAAUCUAGCCAUAAGAUCCCUCAGGGGCAUAUCAGACCAGGUUAGGGAUUUCUGUGUUGAGAUCGUGUUGAGAUUGAGCCUUCAGUACAUAUGCUACUACUUCCCUUCCAAGAUUAAUGAUGCUGUUUGUCUGGAUAUACUUUUUUCCACACUCUUUCGUGUUAGGUUGGUUCGUUCGGUUUUAAAAUCCAUGCUACUAUCCACCCUAUCCACCCUAACUGGAAAAAAUCAGUCUCGAUACCGUUCUUGAAUUUGCAUCGGUCCUCACCACCAUGUACAUGCAGGUGGGUAUUUCGGUUGUGAAAAACCGUGACACUUUGCUAACAUCAUAGGCGGAAUAUUUGCCUAAAUGUGUGCAGUAUGCACAACCUGCAUAAGCACCAGCACCUACAAAUGAUACAGUUACAGUUAAUCAACAAAAAUACUAUGCAUGUAGUUGUAGAGCACGUAACAUAACACUUAAUUAAUACAUCCGUACCUUGGCAGUGAAAAACUUUACUCUGGCCUGGGUAGUCAAGGACAU